rnacentral:rRNA from 1 species
CCUACGGGAGGCAGCAGUGAGGAAUAUUGGUCAAUGGACGAGAGUCUGAACCAGCCAAGUAGCGUGAAGGAUGACUGCCCUAUGGGUUGUAAACUUCUUUUAUAAAGGAAUAAAACGAGGCACGUGUGCCUUUUUGCAUAUACUUUAUGAAUAAGGAUCGGCUAACUCCGUGCCAGCAGCCGCGGUAAUACGGAGGAUCCGAGCGUUAUCCGGAUUUAUUGGGUUUAAAGGGAGCGUAGAUGGGUUGUUAAGUCAGUUGUGAAAGUUUGCGGCUCAACCGUAAAAUUGCAAUUGAUACUGGCAGUCGUGAGUACAGUUGAGGUAAGCGGAAGUCGUGGUGGAGCGGUGAAAUGCUUAGAUAUCACGAAGAACCCCGAUUGCGAAGGCAGCUUACUAAACUGUGACUGACAUUGAUGCUCGAAAGUGUGGGUAUCAAACAGGAUUAGAUACCCCAGUAGUC